rnacentral:rRNA from 1 species
GAUUAUGGCUCAAGAACGAACGCUGGCGGCAGGCUUAACACAUGCAAGUCAAGGGGGUGUAGCAAUACACAACCGGCGCACGGGUGAGUAACGCGUGGGAAUAUGUCCAUUUGUGGGGAAUAGCUUCUGGAAACGGAAGGUGAUACCGCAUACGCCCUACGGGGGAAAGAUUUAUCGCAGAUGGAGUGGCCCGCGUUAGAUUAGCUAGUUGGUGGGGUAACGGCUUACCAAGGCGAUGAUCUAUAGCUGGUCUGAGAGGACGAUCAGCCACAUUGGGACUGAGACACGGCCCAGACUCCUACGGGAGGCAGCAGUAAGGAAUAUUGGACAAUGGGGGAAACCCUGAUCCAAGCCAUGCCGCGUGAGUGAAGAAGGCCUUCGGGUUGUAAAGCUCUUUUGUACGGGAAGAUGAUGACGGUACCGUAAGAAUAAGCACCGGCUAACUUCGUGCCAGCAGCAGC